AAAGUGGCUUACGCCACUGCCAUGGACUGGUUCAUUGCUGUGUGCUAUGCUUUU
rfam:Oryctolagus cuniculus cont2.50316, whole genome shotgun sequence.